CCUGCGGAGGGAUCAUUACCGAGUUUACAACUCCCAAACCCCUGUGAACAUACCACUUGUUGCCUCGGCGGAUCAGCCCGCUCCCGGUAAAACGGGACGGCCCGCCAGAGGAUCCCUAAACUCUGUUUCUAUAUGUAACUUCUGAGUAAAACCAUAAAUAAAUCAAAACUUUCAACAACGGAUCUCUUGGUUCUGGCAUCGAUGAAGAACGCAGCAAAAUGCGAUAAGUAAUGUGAAUUGCAGAAUUCAGUGAAUCAUCGAAUCUUUGAACGCACAUUGCGCCCGCCAGUAUUCUGGCGGGCAUGCCUGUUCGAGCGUCAUUUCAACCCUCAAGCACAGCUUGGUGUUGGGACUCGCGUUAAUUCGCGUUCCUCAAAUUGAUUGGCGGUCACGUCGAGCUUCCAUAGCGUAGUAGUAAAACCCUCGUUACUGGUAAUCGUCGCGGCCACGCCGUUAAACCCCAACUUCUGAAUGUUGACCUCGGAUCAGGUAGGAAUACCCGCUGAACUUAAGCAUAU
rnacentral:rRNA from 1 species